UCCUAGUUGGAUUCUUUAACCACUGCGCCACGACGGGAAGUCUGCAUCCUGUCUGUUGUUGAAUUUCCUCAGUUUUCCCCUGAUGUUCUCUCUCUGCCCUAGGACCCCCAUAACGUCCAGAGUCCACCCUGCUCCACCCCCGGGUGUAACGGUCUUGCCAUCUCUCCACAGGAGCCUGGGCUGGGCAUCUUCAGGCUGCAUGUAUCAGGGUUUUCUCAGGAUCACACUGGGGUGAUGGGUCACAGGGGUGGGUGGGGAUCUCAGGGGAAGUGCCCUUUCGACCUGUCACACCAGGGUUCCCUGCUGCUGCUCUUGACCUGCCCUCCCAGCGCUUCACUGAGAGGUUGCUUCUUUUCCACAAGGAGGUGGGUGUGUGUGGCAGCAGCACUCAGAGACCUGGCCCGAGUGUGGAGGAGGGACUUGCAAAGACAUGUCAGGGGUUGAAUUGUGGCCCCCAAAGAUGUCCACAUCCUGACUGGUGGCACCCGUGAAUGCACCUUUAUUUGGAAACAGGGUCUUUGUGGAUCACCUGCUAAGAUGAGUCACCCUGGAGUCGGGCAGCCCUAGUACGGUGGCUAGUGUCCUUCUCAGAGGAGACACAGAGUCACAGGGAGAGGCCAGAGACGCAAAGGCAGAGAUGGGGCAAUAUGGCCACCAGAGUGGCCAGCUACCCCAGGAAGACCUCACUCAGAGGCCACAGGAGCCGGCCUGCCAGCACCUGGACCUCUGCCUUCCAGCCCCCAAACUGUGAGAGAGGAAAUGCGUGUGGCCUUGCAUCGCCCCACCCAGAGUUCUGGGUGACAUCGGCCACAGGAAGCUCAUUCUGCCUCUGGGAACUGGGAGGCUGGGUAGAGCUUCCAGGGCUUGCAAAAUUCAUGAAAGGGAUAGUGUCUCCAUACCAGAGGGAACGUGAGCUGGGCUGUAAGCAAUCCUGAGGCCAUCUGCUCACCCGCCACCCACCUGGCCAAGGGGUCACAGGGCUGUGGGCACCAGCCAGGUUAGGGUUGCCAGAGAGCAGGCACAGAGGGGACUGCAGACCCACCUCAACUACCGAGGAGUAGAGACCCCAGUCCCCCCACCUGGCGACCCCCCCAACCUGGGGCUGUCCCAUCCAGACAAUCGCUUGUCAACUGGGCAGGGAUAAGGCUGGCUCUCAAGGCCAAACCAGCAUAAUAGAGCAGCUGUUCUUACCUGGGGCAACUCUGCUACAGGGGACGCUGGGGAUGUCUGUGGUGGCUGCUUUUGUCACAGUGGGGGGCCUCCUGGCAUCUAAUGGGAGGGCCAGGGAGGCUACCCCACCCCUGCAGAGCCCAGCAGGGCUGCACAGAGGGUGCUCAGAGCUGAGGAUACUGGCUCCGACCUGCUAAUGCUUUUGUAUAUUUUCCAGGGCCAAGGGGACCUUAAGGCGGACAGUCCCCAGGAGAAUGACCCAGCGGAUAUCACUCAGUUAAACUAAAGAUUCCUGCUCUCCAGAGACGUUUCUGCAAAGAUGGACCACCAACCAACAGGCACGUAAAGAGCCACUCAGCAUCAUGGAGGAGACGCAAGUCAGGCCACUGUGUUGGGACCUUCACCCACAAGGAUGGCGCUGUCCACACAAAGUUGUCACCUCCCACCCAAGCAUAACCACUGUCCAUAUGGUUGUCACCUCCCACCCACUAGGAUAGCCACUGUGCACACAGUGAUCACAAGUGUAGACGAGGGUGUGGGAGACUGGAAACCUUGUCCACGGCUAGUGGGAGAUGAAACAGUGUAGCCACCAUGGAAGACAUUGGUUGAUCCUCCAAAGAGUAAAGAGAGCUAUUGUGUGAUCAGUAAUUACAUUCUAGGAAUUCCACUUCAAGAAAAUGAAAACAUGUCCACAUAAAUAUUUGUACACAAGUGCCCAACAGUGGAUGAUGGAUAAACAGUGUGGUCCCUCCACAUACGGAGCAUCACUCAGCCUGAAAAGGAGAGAAGCCCCGACACUCACUACCACAUGGAUGGACCUGGAGACCACGAUGCUCAGUGAGAGAGGCAGACACAGAAGGACACACACAUAGUAUGGGAUUCCAUGGAUGGAAAACAUCCAGAACAGAUGCACAUCCACAGACAGAGAGUGGAUUCCUGGUUGUCAGGGGCUGGGGAAGGGUGUGGGGGUGACUGCUGAUGGGGACGGGGUUUUUCUUUGUUCCUGAACCUUUUGUACAUUUUUUUUAAUUGACUUUAAAAUGUAUGUAAAAGACUCAUUCUAUGCAGACAACCAAAUAGAAGAAAACUAAAAAUCA